UACGUAGGGUGCAAGCGUUAUCCGGAAUUAUUGGGCGUAAAGAGCUCGUAGGCGGUUUGUCGCGUCUGCUGUGAAAACUGGAGGCUCAACCUCCAGCCUGCAGUGGGUACGGGCAGACUAGAGUGUGCUAGGGGAGACUGGAAUUCAUGGUGUAGCAGUGAAAUGCGUAGAGAUCAUGAGGAAGACCAGUGGCGAAGGCGGGUCUCUGGACAGUUCCUGACACUGAGGCACGAAGGCCAGGGGAGCAAACGGG
rnacentral:rRNA from 1 species